UACGGAGGGUGCAAGCGUUAUCCGGAUUCACUGGGUUUAAAGGGUGCGUAGGCGGAUUGGUAAGUCCGUGGUGAAAUCCCCAAGCUUAACUUGGGAACUGCCGUGGAUACUAUCAAUCUUGAAUAUCGUGGAGGUAAGCGGAAUAUGUCAUGUAGCGGUGAAAUGCUUAGAUAUGACAUAGAACACCAAUUGCGUAGGCAGCUUACUACACGAUCAUUGACGCUGAGGCACGAAAGCGUGGGGAUCAAACAGG
rnacentral:rRNA from 1 species